rnacentral:rRNA from 1 species
CGCCCUUAGAGUUUGAUCAUGGCUCAGAUUGAACGCUGGCGGCAGGCCUAACACAUGCAAGUCGGACGGUAAGAGAGCUUGCUCUCGACGAGUGGCGGACGGGUGAGUAAUGUCUGGGGAUCUGCCCGAUAGAGGGGGAUAACCACUGGAAACGGUGGCUAAUACCGCAUAACGUCGCAAGACCAAAGAGGUUCGUCUCACUAUCGGAUGAACCCAGAUGGGAUUAGCUAGUAGGCGGGGUAAUGGCCCACCUAGGCGACGAUCCCUAGCUGGUCUGAGAGGAUGACCAGCCACACUGGAACUGAGACACGGUCCAGACUCCUACGGGAGGCAGCAGUGGGGAAUAUUGCACAAUGGGCGCAAGCCUGAUGCAGCCAUGCCGCGUGUAUGAAGAAGGCCUUCGGGUUGUAAAGUACUUUCAGCGGGGAGGAAGGCGAUGCGUAAUCGCGUCGAUUGACGUUACCCGCAGAAGAAGCACCGGCUAACUCCGUGCCAGCAGCCGCGGUAAUACGGAGGGUGCAAGCGUUAAUCGGAAUUACUGGGCGUAAAGCGCACGCAGGCGGUCUGUUAAGUCAGAUGUGAAAUCCCCGGGCUUAACCUGGGAACUGCAUUUGAAACUGGCAGCUUGAGUCUUGUAGAGGGGGGUAGAAUUCCAGUGUAGCGGUGAAAUGCGUAGAGAUCUGGAGAUACCGGUGGCGAAGCGGCCCCUGGACAAGACUGACGCUCAGUGCGAAGCGUGGGGAGC